rnacentral:rRNA from 1 species
GUGAGGAAUCUUGCGCAAUGGGCGAAAGCCUGACGCAGCAACGCCGCGUGGGUGAUGAAGGCCUUCGGGUCGUAAAACCCUGUCGGGUGGGAAGAAAUGGCGGUGGGCUAAUACCCCAUCGUCUUGACUGUACCACCAGAGGAAGCCCCGGCUAACUCCGUGCCAGCAGCCGCGGUAAUACGGAGGGGGCCAGCGUUGUUCGGAAUUAUUGGGCGUAAAGGGCGCGUAGGCGGUCCGGCAAGUCAGUUGUGAAAUCCCCUGGCUCACCCAGGGAACUGCUUCUGAAACUGCCAGACUUGAGUCCGGGAGAGGAGAGUGGAAUUCCCAGUGUAGCGGUGGAAUGCGUAGAUAUUGGGAGGAACACCGGUGGCGAAGGCGGCUCUCUGGACCGGUACUGACGCUGAGGCGCGAAAGCUAGGGGAGCAAACAGGAUUAGAAACCCGAGUAGUCC